CGUACCCGUUACUUGGUAACUGUGGUAAUUCUAGAGCUAAUACAUGCCGACAGAGUUCCGACCAACUGUACAGAUGUGCGUCGGCCUCGGUCGUCGUCGCUGUACGGUUCGGAAGGAACGCUUUUAUUAGAUCAAAACCGGCCAGACGGUGGUUUCGCGUUCGCGCGCGUCUCCAUUCGUAAGCGGCCCGCGCAAAGACUUGGUGACUCUGAAUAACUUCGAGCUGAUCGCACGGUCCUAGUACCGGCGACGUAUCUUUCAAAUGUCUGCCUUAUCAACUGUCGACGGUAGGUUCGACGCCUACCGUGGUGGUAACGGGUAACGGGGAAUCAGGGUUCGAUUCCGGAGAGGGAGCCUGAGAAACGGCUACCACAUCCAAGGAAGGCAGCAGGCGCGCAAAUUACCCACUCCCAGCUCGGGGAGGUAGUGACGAAAAAUAACGAUACGGGACUCAUUCGAGGCCCCGUAAU
rnacentral:rRNA from 1 species